UACGGAGGGGGCUAGCGUUGUUCGGAAUUACUGGGCGUAAAGCGCACGUAGGCGGCUUUGUAAGUUAGAGGUGAAAGCCCGGAGCUCAACUCCGGAAUUGCCUUUAAGACUGCAUCGCUUGAACAUCGGAGAGGUGAGUGGAAUUCCGAGUGUAGAGGUGAAAUUCGUAGAUAUUCGGAGGAACACCAGUGGCGAAGGCG
rnacentral:rRNA from 1 species